AUGCACGCUGGCGGCGUGCCUCAUACAUGCAAGUCGAGCGAACGGACGAGAAGCUUGCUUCUCUGAUGUUAGCGGCGGACGGGUGAGUAACACGUGGAUAACCUACCUAUAAGACUGGGAUAACUUCGGGAAACCGGAGCUAAUACCGGAUAAUAUUUUGAACCGCAUGGUUCAAAAGUGAAAGACGGUCUUGCUGUCACUUAUAGAUGGAUCCGCGCUGCAUUAGCUAGUUGGUAAGGUGACGGCUUACCAAGGCAACGAUGCAUAGCCGACCUGAGAGGGUGAUCGGCCACACUGGAACUGAGACACGGUCCAGACUCCUACGGGAGGCAGCAGUAGGGAAUCUUCCGCAAUGGGCGAAAGCCUGACGGAGCAACGCCGCGUGAGUGAUGAAGGUCUUCGGAUCGUAAAACUCUGUUAUUAGGGAAGAACAUAUGUGUAAGUAACUGUGCACAUCUUGACGGUACCUAAUCAGAAAGCCACGGCUAACUACGUG
rnacentral:rRNA from 1 species